GAGAUAAUUUUUGACAAAAACAUGUUUAUAUUUUUACUAAAAACGAAACGUUGCGCGGAGCGAUUGCAUGAACCGUCGAAUGCGGAUUCGUCGGUUCAUGAAACCAACCCUCCUUAAAUUCUAGCAGACGAUGAACCGUCGAAUCUGUAGCAUCGUCUGAACGGGAUGUAAAAAUUGCAAUAGAUAGUUGGAAGUUUGUCGCAGAAAUCCUGGCAUGACCUUUGGCUGUAUUCUCGUGAAAAGUGCUGUGUGAUCUGAAUACAUGGUUGCACUAUGCAGUGAAAGGCAUUCUGCAGUUGGGAUUAUGGUAGAUUGACUGCAAAAUGUGAGGAAGCAAUCUAUUGAAUACUGAAAACCCAAAGUGACUACUACUUCUCCAGCAGCAAGGGCUAUAUAAUCUAAAGAUUUCACAGUUGGUGGAGAUGUCCUGAACUUGCUUUGUGCUGCAAUCUCUUGUACAUGUACCACCAGAUUCCAGGAAUGUGAUAACUCAACUUUACUUUCAUCAUAGAGGUGUUGUGGUCUAGUGAAUAAGUCAUCCGACUGCAGAUCACAAGGUACAGGGUUCAAGUUCUGCUGCAUCACUAAUGUCCUUUGGCGAG
rnacentral:lncRNA from 1 species